CCAGAGUGGCCUUUUUUUCCAGGGGGUGCAAUUCCCUUUUAAAGCAGAAAUACGUCAUGUACAGAGUCACAGUUAACAUACAGUAUACAUUCAUCAAUUGGUUAACAGUCUAAGGGGUCUUGUCUAAACCCCCCCUACAGGAUGUAGUGUCGUCAUUACAGACUUCUCCCACCCACAUUCCAGCUCCAUCUUGGUUACACGAUGGGAGGGGGGGAAGUGAGUAGUAGUUACUUUAACAGUGAUUCUCUAUUUUGUUAGCUGUUACUUUGCACAAAGGAAGUGGGGGAGGAGUUUAAUAAAG